UACCCGUGGGUGUCUUGUACCUGUCACGUGACCAUGAUGUAAUUGAAGCUAUGCUGGAGAUGAGGUAAUGGUCUUAUGAUGGUGGAGUGACGUCAUUUUCCCGCCAGUGAGAGGUCAUGUGAUAGUUUUUUUUUUCAACAGGGUAUGAAAGGAGAACCCCACCCUGUGACGUGGGUAGUUCAUGGCUGAAUUCGCCACUGACUCCAUGCUGCUGCAUAUUCUGACAUUAUGAUGCAGUUUCAUUUAAAAGUGGAGUUUUACUUUCUGUUUUAAGUCUCAAAGGUUAUUGCUGGCAGUUUCGCUAUAAUACUGCCAGUUUGGUCAGUGGAGAGUGAAGAUUUUAAAGGAGCUCAGAAAUCCCGAAGGUUUGGGAAAGUUAAUGUCGACGGUGAAACAGAUUCGACCUUUGUUUAAUCUUCACACAAGGAAUUAGUAACGAGUAUCCAUGACAACCCCUGUUCCGUCAGAAGAGCAGAGGGUUGGAUACAAAGUUUCAUUAAAGACAGGUUAUAUAAUGGAUUGGUAUGCAAAGACCAAUGCCCAGCUAUGGAAAAGCCGACAAAAACAGUAGUGGAUGCAAUCUAGUCCAUUACAGGAAAAGUCCUCUCCACCACCAAGCACAUCUACAAGGAGAGCUGCCACAGGAUAGCAGCAUCCAUCAGCAAGGAACCCCCCCGCCCCCAUCCAGCUCAUGCUCCCUUCUUGCUGCUGCUGUCAAGGAGGUGAUACAGGAGCCCUAGAUCCCAUACCACCAGGUUCAGAAACAUUUAUUACCCUUCAACCAUGUGGUUCCUGAACCAGUGUGGAUCACUUAACCCACCUCAACGCUGAACAGACUCCUCAACCUUUGGACUAACUUUCAAGGACUCUACAACACAAGUCUUCAAUAUUAUUUAUUUAUUUUUCAGUUGAACAGUUCAUCUUCAUUUACACUUUGGUUGUUCAUCACUUUUAGUUUGUGUGUAGUUUAUCACUCAUUCUAUUGUAUUUAUUUGUUCUACUGUGAAUGCCUGCAAGAAAGUGAAAAUGAAAAUGAGUAUUGAUGGCAUACACGUAUACCUUGAUAAUAAAAUUAUUUACCUUGAA